rnacentral:rRNA from 1 species
UACGAAGGGUGCGAGCGUUAAUCGGAAUUACUGGGCGUAAAGCGUGCGCAGGCGGCUUUGUAAGCCAGAUGUGAAAUCCCCGGGCUUAACCCGGGAAUGGCAUUUGGGACUGCAAGGCUGGAGUGCGGCAGAGGAGACUGGAAUUCCUGGUGUAGCAGUGAAAUGCGUAGAUAUCAGGAAGAACACCGAUGGCGAAGGCAGGUCUCUGGGCUGACACUGACGCUGAUGUACGAAAGCGUGGGGAGCAAACAGG